GGAGCUUGCUCCCUGAGAUUAGCGGCGGACGGGUGAGUAACACGUGGGCAACCUGCCUAUAAGACUGGGAUAACUUCGGGAAACCGGAGCUAAUACCGGAUACGUUCUUUUCUCGCAUGAGAGAAGAUGGAAAGACGGUUUCGGCUGUCACUUAUAGAUGGGCCCGCGGCGCAUUAGCUAGUUGGUGAGGUAAUGGCUCACCAAGGCGACGAUGCGUAGCCGACCUGAGAGGGUGAUCGGCCACACUGGGACUGAGACACGGCCCAGACUCCUACGGGAGGCAGCAGUAGGGAAUCUUCCGCAAUGGACGAAAGUCUGACGGAGCAACGCCGCGUGAACGAAGAAGGCCUUCGGGUCGUAAAGUUCUGUUGUUAGGGAAGAACAAGUACCAGAGUAACUGCUGGUACCUUGACGGUCCUACCAAAG
rnacentral:rRNA from 2 species